rnacentral:rRNA from 1 species
AUGGCGACCGCGUGCUUCCACCUUCGCCUCUGCCCCCGCUUCCGCGCCUUCGCGUCCUUCUCCUCUCGCCCCCUCCUCGCUACCCACCCCAGGACCCUGCCCCUAGCACGCACCGGCCCGGCUACGCCGCUCGCCGCCCGCACGCGCCGUGGGUUCGGCUCCUCCACGGCCGCCGCCCCGCUCAACGAGGAUGACGACUUCGCCACAGCUGCGGACCUGCGGUUCGAGCGGCCGCUCAAGGUAGUGCAGUACCCCGACCCCGUCCUGCGCGCACGCAACAAGCGCAUCAACACCUUCGACGACAACCUUCGCUCCCUCGCGGACGAGAUGUUUGAUGUCAUGUACAAGACGGAUGGCAUUGGUCUCUCGGCACCACAAGUUGGAGUGAACGUGCAGCUCAUGGUAUUCAACCCAGCUGGGGUGAAAGGGGAAGGAGAGGAAAUUGUCCUUGUCAACCCAGUAGUUUACAAGUUCUCGAAGCGGUUGUCAGUCUAUGAAGAAGGGUGCUUGUCGUUCCCUGGAAUAUAUGCCAAUGUGCUGAGACCAGACACUGUUAAAAUUGAUGCUCAAGAUGCUAGUGGAGCAAAGAUCAAAGUUAAAUUAUCAGAACUAUCUGCAAGAGUUUUCCAGCAUGAGUUUGAUCAUUUACAGGGAAUCCUUUUCUUUGACAGAAUGACUAUGGAUGUUGUUGAGAGCAUAUAUGAGCAGCUGAAGAGUCUAGAGGACAAAUACGUGGAAAUAACAGGACAAGCAAGCCCUGAAACUAUAGCAAACUACAGAGGGACAAAGGAUGUCGUUAGUUUUUCAAGAUGA